rnacentral:rRNA from 2 species
CUUUUACUAAAGCAGACAACGGAUGUCUUGGCUGUUUGAGCCGAUGAAGGACGUUGCCGUCAACGAAAAACGUCGGGGAGGUGACAAGCAACCUGCGAUCCGGCGGUGUCCGAAUGGGGAAACCCCCUCUUUUGAGGAUUUUGUAUCGUUUGGUACAGGAGGGGAACCAUCUGAACUGAAACAUCUCAGUAAGAUGAGGAAAAGAAACCGCGUCUAACGCGGGAUUCCGUCAGUAGCGGUGAGCGAAAGCGGAAAAGCCUAAACCCAGAUUUUUCUGGGGGUUGCGGGGCAGAAAACAUGGGAUUGGUUAAGGAUAGAAGAAGACCUUGGAAUAGGUCGCCAAAGAAAGUGAAAGUCUUGUAUUCGAAAUCCAAAAUCACCCUAUUCUGUUCCCAAGUACCACGGGACAAGGCGUCUUGUGGGAAUCUAGCUAAUCACAGGCUAAGGCUAAAUACUUAAACAGACCGAUAGUGUACUAGUACCGUGAGGGAAAGAUGAAAAGUCCCUAUAAAAGGGAGUGAAAUAGAACCUGAAAUUGUCUGCUAACAAACAGAGAGAGUCCGGCUUCGCCGGAUAAUCUCGUGCCUAUUGAAGAAUGAACCGGUGAGUGUUUGAUGACCGCUUAGUCUUAGCCAGUUUCUGGCGGAGGCGUAGCGAAAGCGAGUCUUAACAGGGCGAUUUGGCGGUUUUCAGACGACCCGAAACCGGGUGAGCUAACCAUGAGCAGGGUGAACUUCGAUUAACAUCGUAAGGAAGGCCCGCACCAGUGUUUGGUUCAAAAAGCUUGGAUGACUUGUGGUUAGGGGUAAUAUGCUAAACGAACCCGGAGAUAGCUGGUUCUCCCCGAAAUAUAUAGAGGUAUAGCGUUCAUCAAAAUUGGCACUGGGGUAGAGCACUGAAUGGGCUUGGGGCGGCAACGUCUCAUGUUCAAUCAAACUCCGAAUACAGUGUCAAUCUGAUGGGCAGUCAGUCUUGCCGGGCUAAGCUGGUGAGACAAAAGGGAAACAGCCCAAACUCUCAUCUAAGGUCUCUAAUUUUACUUAAGUGUUUUAAGGAAGUAAGAUUGCUAAAACACCCAGGAGGUUGGCUUAGAAGCAGCCAUCCUUUAAAGAAAGCGUAACAGCUCACUGGACGAGGAAUCUUGCGCCGCAAAUUCAGGAGGCUAAAGUAAAUACCGAAGAUGGAGGUGCGAUUUAUCGCGCGGUAGGGGAGCGUCGAUAAAGCAGUGAAGCCAAGCUGUAAGGCGAGGUGGAGCUUUAUCGAGUGAGAAUGCCGGUAUGAGUAGCGAAAGGCCGAUGAGAAUUCGGCCCGCCGAAUGUCCAAGGUUUCCCACGUAAUGUUCGUCAGCGUGGGGUUAGUCGGCCCUAAGGCAAGCCCCGAUUUUAGAUCGGGGGUAGUCGAUGGUUGGCAGGUUUAUAUUCCUGCACCUUGGUUGUAUCGUUAGAUCACACUUUGUGUGAUGAUUCACUUUGUGAAUGCAGCUAGGGAGUGACGAGAUUUGAUAAGUAAGGUGUCUUAUUGAUUUGACAUUGAGGCAACGAGUCAGUUUUGGUUGGAAAAUCCGCCAGAGCGACGGCAAGUUGAGUCAAAAGUCUUUUGGCAACAGAGGGCGAUCUUACUGGAUUAAGUUUCCAAGAAAAGCUUCGUGGCGAGAGACAACCAAGUCCGUACCGAAAACCGACACAGGUGGACUGGACGAGAAGUCUAAGGCGAACGGGAGAAGGGAGUUUAAGGAACUCGGCAAAAAAUCUGGACGUAACAUUUGGAGAUGUCCUACCUUAUUAAUUAAGGUCACAGCAAAAGAGUGCUUACCGACUGUUUAACUAAAACACAGGUCUGUGCAAAAGCGAAAGCUUAAGUAUACGGGCUGAGGCCUGCCCAGUGCUGGAAGGUUAAGGGGAGCCACUUGUGGUGAACUGAAGCCCCAGUAAACGGCAGCAGUAACUAUGAAAAGUCGUAGUUGAGUGACCCAUUGUAUUUGGUCACCAUCGCACAAGCGAUGAAAAACCUAGCUAUAUGCUGGAAAAUCCGUACCGUAACAAACGGUUGAAGUAUCUGACGUUACCAUGUUAAUAUUUUAUUAUAUGGUAAAAAUACGAUCAGUGCGGACAAUCAGCAGGAAAGGUUUUAGUCGGGAAGAAAAAGGAUGGUUUUUAGCUGGAUUCGUCGAAGGUGAAGGAAGUUUUAAUGUUUCCUUACGAAGAAAGAAUGAUUAUAAAUUAGGUUGGCAAGUUGUUUUAAGUUUUAAUGUUUCUCAAAAAGAUAAAGAAAUAUUAGAAUUACUUAAAAAAGAAUUGAAUUGUGGAAUUAUUAAAGUAAGGAAGUUUGACAAUCUUCAUUCUCUUGAUAUUACGAAUCCCAAUGAAAUUAUCCAUAAAGUCAUACCAUAUUUCCAAAAAUUUUCUUUAUUUUCUUCUGGUAAAAGAAAGAAUUUUGAAAUUUUUUGUCAAAUUACUAAUUUGAUGAAAAAGGGGAGUCAUAGAACAACUAAUGGCUUGAAGAAAAUUCUUAAAUUAAGAGAAGAAUUGAAUAAAGGGAAGGCGAGAAAAAGGAAAUAUGAAUAUGAUGAUGUUUUUCCGAUUAGAAAAUCCUCAGAGACUAUAUGCUAGGAUCCCCGCCAAAAAUUGAAUAUUUAGGCGGGAGAUAUGAUAUAGUCCGAUCUCAUGGGCGACCAUGAGACUCCGUAUUCAAUCGGAGCUUUGUAACAAAAUGAACUGUUCUACGGUAGAUUUCGCGCUGCCGUAGUAAAAUCUGACUAUAUGCUGGAAAAUCCUAAGUAUCUGACAGUACCAAAUUUUGGUGAAAAUCUGUUCAGUGGGGACAAUCAGCAGGAAAGACUCAUUAGUUAACAAUUAAUGAGAAUCCUCAGAGGCCAUACGUCAGACGCCAUAAUUUUAUGGUAAAGAUAUGGUCCACAUUCUAAAAUUUUUUAGAAUUUGAGCGAAGUUCCUUGUCGUGUAAGUUACGACCCGCAUGAAUGGUGUAACGAGUAAGCAACUGUCUUGAACUCUCCCCCGGCGAAAUUGAAAUGGCCGUGAAGAUGCGGCCUACUUACUGCAGGACAAAAAGACCCCGUGGAGCUUUACUACAGCUUGACAUUGAAAAGCUUAAAUAAACUGUUGAGAAUAGGUGGGAGUCUUCGGACGACAGUGAAAUACCACUCUUUUGUUUAUGUUUUUCUCACUAAAAUAUGCUGGAAACGCAUAUUGGGACAGUGUCUGGUGGGUAGUUUGACUGGGGCAGUCGCUUGCUCAAGAGUAAUGCAAGCGUACCAAGGUCGGCUUAGCGCGGAUGGAAAUCGCGCUGGACGUAUAAAGGCAAAAGCCGGCUUGACUGCGAGACUGACAAGUCGAGCAGGAACGAAAGUUGGUCUUAGUGAUCCCCCGUACAACUGUGAUGGUUGUCGGGGCUUAACGGAUAAAAGCUACCCCGGGGAUAACAGGUUGGUCGUGCCCGAGAGUCCAUAUCGACGGCGCGGUUCGACACCUUAACAUAUCGGGGUGCGAUAGAAGUAAUUCUAUCAGCCUGUUUAAUUUUUAUUACUAGCUCAUAACGGUGAACUCCUAAUUGACUUUCGGGUAAACUUCGGUUUAUCAUUAAGUUAAUGGACAACACCGUGGGAAGUUUAACAGAAGAACAAAAAUCCAUCCUUGUUGGUUGUCUUUUAGGAGAUGGCACAAUGAGGAAAAAGACAAAUGCUCAUUUAGAAAUUAACCAUUGUUAUAAACAAAAAGCAUUGGUUGAUUGGAUUUUUAGUAAAUUUAAAUGUUUAGUGAGAACCAAGCCUAAAUGGAGAAAAGGCAACGGUAAUAGAGAAGCAUAUAGAUUUGCAACUCGAAGUUUACCAGUUUUAACUCCAUUUUAUGAAGAAUUUUUUCCUCAAGGGAAAAAGGUUAUUCCAAAAAAAUUAAAUUUAAAUGGUUUAACAUUAGCAGUUUGGUUUAUGGAUGAUGGCUCAAAAAGCUAUUCAUCAAUUUAUCUAAACACACAACAAUUUACUAAAAUUGAGCAAUUGAAAUUAAUAAGUCUUCUUAAGAGUAAUUUUGGUAUUGAAUCUAGCCUAAAUAAAGAUAAAAAAUAUUUUAGGAUUAGAAUUCGAACCAAAAGUGUUAAGAAAUUUAUUAAUUUGACAAAAAGAUUUGUUUUAAAAGAAUUUAAAUACAAAUUUCCUUCUGUUAUGACCCCGUAACGACUUAUUCCAUUAGAUUGGAAUAGAGUUCUCUAAUCAAGAGGGCUAAAACGCUAGCUCCUACUCCUUUUCGAAUGGUAUCGAUGAGGACAAGAGGAUGAAGGUAUAGUCUAAACUUAUAAGGAAUUAUAAGAAUCAGAGCGAUGUCGGCUCAGCGUAUCCUGGGGCUGAAAAAGGUCCCAAGGGUCGGUCUGUUCGCCCGUUAAAACGCUACGUGAGCUGGGUUCAGAACGAUGUAAAUCAGUUCGGUCUCUAUCCGCAGUAAGCGCAGGAUAUUUGAGGGAAUCUGCCGGUAGUACGAGAGGACUCCGGUGGGGGAAUCCCUGGUGUACCAGUUGUUUCUAUCAAGAACAACGCUGGAUAGCUAAAUUCCUAGUGGAUAACUGCUGAAAGCAUCUUAAGCGGGAAGCCGCUCCCAAGAUAAGAUAUCCAUAUGUGUUUACACAUUGAAGAUCACCCGUAGACUACGGGUUUAAUAGACUGGAGGUGUAAGUGGAGUAAUCCAUUCAGCUGACCAGGACUAAAUGAUCAAA